rnacentral:rRNA from 1 species
AGAAUCAACGCUGGCGGCGUGCCUCAGACAUGCAAGUCGAACGAUUAAAGCUCUCUUCGGAGAGUGUAUAGAGUGGCGCACGGGUGAGUAACACGUAAGUAAUCUACCCUCGAGUGGGGAAUAACGUCCGGAAACGGACGCUAAUACCGCAUAAUGCAGUGGCACCGCAAGGUGACAGUUGUUAAAGAUUUAUCGCUUGAGGAGGAGCUUGCGGCAGAUUAGCUAGUUGGUAAGGUAAUGGCUUACCAAGGCUACGAUCUGUAACCGGUCUAAGAGGACGGUCGGUCACACUGACACUGAAUAACGGGUCAGACUCCUACGGGAGGCAGCAGUCGGGAAUUUUGGGCAAUGGGCGAAAGCCUGACCCAGCAACGCCGCGUGAAGGAUGAAGUAUUUCGGUAUGUAAACUUCGAAAGAAUGGGAAGAAUCAAUGACGGUACCAUUUAUAAGUCCGGCUAACUACGUGCCAGCAGCCGC